AAUUGAGCUUCUGAAAUAGAGUUAGGGAAUAUUCAAAUGAGGAUUUGAAAAAGAAAUCAAAAUAUCUUGAAAAAUAAAAGAAGAACUGGAAUUUGUGAAGGAAGAUUGAAUAAAAGUUGAUUCAAAACUCGAUUUCUUUCUUUAUUGGUUUCAAAGUGGAUUUGGCUGGAUUCGUUGUUUUUGUUGCUGUUCUCCUUUCAAUUUUUGGUUGACCUCCAAAUCGUAGUUGUUUUUAGCUUGGUUUAGGCUCUUGACUGUUGUUAUCUAAGCUCAAUUAGGUAAGCUCUACACCUCCCUAUAUUGAUUUCACUGAAUGAUUCACAUCUUUUAAGUCUUUUGUCUAAUUUUGUGCAUCUGCCUAAAUUUCAGUUUCUACAUCUUAUGUGUGCAACAGAUCUGUUAUUGUGUAUCAUUUGGAAAAAUAUCUGAAAUGGUGAGGUAAUGUAGCUUCUGCAUUUCUUUGGAAAUUCAUCACAUGUCAUAUAACCAAAUCAGCUCCACUUAGAUGUAUUAUGGUUUGAAGGAAGUAAGUAUGAUGAGGUUUAGUGAAUAUAACGUUGUGCGAAACAUCGAUUUGAAGCAUAUAUGUAUACAUGUUCAAUCAUAGUUUUUUAAUUUGUUGGAAUGUUAAAAGUAUAUGUUUGAGCAGUAAACUUUGCGACAAAGUAGACUGAAAUUUGGAGCAAAAAGCAUAGAGAGCAAACAGAGAGUUAGAGUUCAUGUAGCUGCCUAUUGAAAUUUGAAGGAAAUGAACUUGAAUCUUGAUUUUGCAAUUAAAGACCUGUAGUUUGUACUGUGUUGAAGAUUUUGAUUUAUCCUAAAGAUUGGAACAAUUUUCCAAAUGUGCUUUUGACAGAAAUGGCUUCUUCAUCAUUUUCUUCAUAAUGUUAUCACAUGCAUGUGUUGUAAUCAUAGUGGCUUUAAUUGUCACUGUAGAACCUAACUUAGGAACGUGAAAUUCAAAAUAUUAUUCUUCUACAGUUUUGUUGCGAGAGGGACGAUUUGUUUGUUCGCAUAACA
rnacentral:lncRNA from 1 species